CGACCAGGUGGGGAUUUGAACCCAGGUUCUGACUGCGCCACAGUGGUCCUGGGGCGCAUAUGGGGAAGCCCGUCAGCAGGACCUGCGCACGAAAUAACACUCCCAACUUGUGAUUCCCAGUCCCUGACAUGGAGAGACAUACUCAGUGCUUCAAGGAAGAGAGCUGGAACAUCUCUAUUUUCAACUAACCACAUUUUGACCUUUCAUCCGAACCAGGACAAAAUGAUUAAUGUACACUGGUUUGUUGUAACAAAAUGUGAUUUCUGGUCCUACUUGUUUCAGCUAAAUCUUCAUUAAAACUAACCACAGUUGGACCCAGUUAGACAAAAUAAACUGCACUCAGUUGAAAACAUUAGUAGAUACCUUGACUGCUUCCUAGAAGUCACUCUGGAGGAGGGAGAUAAGAACAGGCUUGCUCAUGGUUUAGUAUUGUGUCCAAACCAGUUCAUUACAGCUUCAGAGGUACAUUGCGAAUUGUUGGGAGCAUAGGACAGUUAUGCCCCCCCCAACUGUGAGAUGUGAGAGGGCUUUUCACUUAUAUGUUGGUUAUUGGCUUCCCAAAAAUUGGCCAUUGUGGGAACAGAAUAGCCUUUGGGGUGAACCAGUAGGUCUGUUUUUCUUUGCUUGACCAAAAGAACAUCUCACUUGCUGAGGUUUUAAAUCCAUGGAAGACAGGAACCAUUUGAGGGCAUUCAAAUGGACAAGGAACGUGUGUGUCCUCUGGCAAAUCACCAUCAAGUUUACAGCCCUCUAUGACUUUCAGGGCAAAGGUCUGUGACAGAAUGUCUCCUUUACUCAUAGAGGGGCCCUGAUUGCAUUUUGGACCUUUGCCCUUAUACUUGUGCAGAGCUGUAAAUAGGAUGGAUGAUGGCCAUGCUUUGGAAAGGGUGGGGCUUAGCUGCAUGCUCCUAUUCUCCCUUGCAUGAUUGUUUGCACAUAAGUAGGGAUGGAAGGAUCUGUCAGUUUCACAUUUUUCCCUUCUUAAAUUCGGUUUCCACAUUUCUGCAGCAAUUUGCUAAAGAAAGAAACAAAUCCUCAUGAAACUGGUAUCAUUUUAGUGAAAAAUUCUCCUAAACAUAUCCAUUUUAAUGCAGUUUCCUCUAAUAAAGGCAUUUUUAUAAACAUUGGUUGGUUGGAGACGUACAUUACAAAAUUUGAAUAGGUGUGAAUUUCGGAGGAUGGCUCUGUUUUGGUUCUGUUGUUCAGAUUUGGUAGAGUCAUCUUUAAAUAUGAUCUGAAUCAAAUUUCUCCUUACCCUAGCACUAACCCAUGUGUAAUCUGAAUCCCGCAGUAAGGCGUUUGUUUCCAAGUAAACCAAUACAGCAGGCAGAGAACCACAUUCUGUAACAUGGCAUGCAAGGGAGAAGCCUAGGCAAUAAUUUUAGUGUGGAAAGUGAGAUGUUGCAAUCACAUCCCCAUUUUUGUGGAAUGUUGGGGUGGUGUGCAGCUGUUGCUUUCAUGUACUGCCAUAGGCUUUCAGGUAGAAUUUAUUGGCCUGGUGUGGAAAACCAAAGCUCCAUCCCAAAUCAGAGAUGCAAAUUUGGAGAAGGGUUAUAGCCCUGUGGUAGAGCAUCUGUUUUGCAUGUAUAAAGUCCCAGGUUCAAUGCUCAGCAUUUCCAGAUUGGUUUGGGAAUGUCACCUGCCUGAAACCUUGGAGAGCUGCUGUAGACAAUACUGACCUAGAUGGACCAAUGGCCUGACUUGGUAUAUGGCAUCUUCUGGGUUGUAUCCAAUGUUUGUUCUACUCAGAGUAAACCUAUUGAAAUUUGUGGACUUAAAUUAGUUAUGUCCAUUGGUUCAAUGGGUCUACUUUGAGUAGAACUAACAUUGGGUACAAGCCUAUUUCCCUAAAUUUAGGACAGCUUGGGAAUCAGAGGCAAAUUCUGGUUCUUGCCAUCAGGGCUUAGUCUUAGCUAUAGAGCUAUGACAGGAUUAAGUACCAACACCCACAAUCUGUUGACAAGAACAGAUAGGCUAAAACAGGUUUGGUCCAACAUCAGUGUAAUCCCUAAUAUCACCACCACCCUUCUCUUAGGAAAUUCCCUCAAAGUUUCAAAAAAAUAACUGCAUUCAGUUAGUUACCUCAUUGUUGACCCUUCAUAUACUUUAAACUGCUGACAAAUACAGCUUGCACCACACAUUGUUAUUUCGGAUCCACGGAGCCCAUUUUAGAAAGAAAUGCUUUGCAAUUUGAUGCUAACCUUCCUUUUCCAACCACAAGACAAUUCACAACCCUUCUAAAAAUAGAUCCUUUUACCGUCUCAGCCCAAAGUCCUACCAAUGACAACUGUGUUGGACCUUAUCUGCAAAAACAGAGAAGAGUUAAUGGCUAACCAGACUAUUACGUAUUGCCUAUACAGAAUUUUUUCAUGAGCUCCUGAUAUUUUGGGGAUAGAACCCAACUCCAGCUAAACUGCAUCCUAGGCAUAUAAAGGGGGCUCUGAAAUUCAGAAAGGUGGAUAUUAUCAGGGACCACAUGCACACACAUCCUCCAUUAGAAGAUUAUUUGAAAUCAUCAGAAAUAGUCAACAAAAUGGACACAUUAGUUUUACUUAAGGUGUGAUACAUUAAAAAAUAUAUACAUAUUGAUAUAUGAUUGUAUCCAACACUGGUCAUACUUGGAGUAGACCCACUGAAAUUAAUAUACAGUGGUACCUUGGGUUAUAAGUACUUAAUUCGUUCCGGAGGUCUGUUCUUAACCUGAAACUGUUCUUAACCUGAAGCACUACUUUAGCUAAUGGGGCCUCCUGCUGCCGCCACGCUGCCGGAGAAUGAUUUCUGUUCUCAUCCUGAAGUAAAGUUCUUAACCCGAGGUACUUCUGGGUUAGCGGAGUCUGUGAGCUGAAGCGUAUGUAACCUGAAGCAUAUGUAACCCGAGGUACCACUGUACAUGGCUAACUUAGGUAGAGAGUAGCAGUUGUAUACAACCUUUCUUCUACCUUUGCAUAUACAAGAUGUUUCUAAUGCAGUUGGGUGGAAUUAAGCCCAAUCACAACUGCUCACUGCCUGCUUGUACCAUCACCACACACCACAAGUCUUAGUAGCAGAGCUCUGAAUAUUUCCCUCCCUAGUGACUGGACUAAAUUGAACCUGGGGAGUAGAAUAACUUGACAGAGGAAAUAUUCUGUCCCUUCCUUGGACAGAGGUAGCUAGUCUUUUUGGGCCUGAAAAGUUGCAUUUGUUCUUGGCCAACCCUCCAUUGGCCUCUUGCCAGUGAAAGGUGAGACCAAGACUAAAGAGAGUGUGGAAACUCUCGAGCACAAGUCACACGCGCACACACACACACACGAGGGGGCAGAUGUUGAAAACUCUCAGCUUAGCUCAUUACCAUAUGGGGAUUAACUAGUCUAGGUGACUGAAGCAAAGAGGAGAACUGUUGAGGUGUUUCCCAAUUUAAAGCACCCUAAUGCGGAUAGUUACUUUCCCGGUCUGGAGAGUUCUACAGGUCGUCAAGGGCAAAGCAGCAAGUUAAAAAUACGUAGCUAGGCAGACUUGUCUCCAUAGUAUACAUCCCUUUGAGUCUCUGGCUGGAGUCUUGUACGUAAAACAUAAUUGUACCUAAAUUGUGUUUCAAAGUUGGCAUAAGUAGUGCCAGAGUUGCAUUGAAAUUCAGUGAUACUGCCUUCUGACUAGGCUGGGUGGGGAACUUUAGGUCCUCCAACUGUAGGACUACACUCCCAUCAUUCCUGGCCUCUGGCAAGACUGAUUGGGGCUGAUGUAAGAUGGAGUCCAACAUCUGGAGGACCAACAAUUCCUCAUCCCUCUGUAGGCUGUUGUAUUCUGUCUCUCUGAAAUAAAACUUAUGAUUUUAA